GACGAACGCUGGCGGCGUGCCUAACACAUGCAAGUGGAGCGACGAACCGGGCUUCGGCCCGGGGCAAAGCCGCGAACGGGUGAGUAACACGUGGGUAACCUGCCCCGAUGAUUGGGACAACCCGAGGAAACUCGGGCUAAUACCGAAUGUGCCCUCUGGCCAUAAGGCCGCUGGGGAAAGGAAGCUUCGGCCUCCGCAUCGGGAUGGGCCCGCGGCCCAUUAGCUUGUUGGUGAGGUAAAGGCUUACCAAGGCACGAUGGGUAGCUGGUCUGAGAGGACGAUCAGCCACACUGGGACUGAGACACGGCCCAGACUCCUACGGGAGGCAGCAGUGGGGAAUCUUGCGCAAUGCGCGAAAGCGUGACGCAGCAACGCCGCGUGGGGAAGAAGGCCUCGG
rnacentral:rRNA from 1 species